rnacentral:rRNA from 1 species
CAGCAGCCGCGGGAAUACGGAGGGGGCUAGCGUUGUUCGGAACUACUGGGCGUAAAGCGCACGUAGGCGGCUUGGUAAGUUAGAGGUGAAAGCCUGGAGCUCAACUCCAGAAUUGCCUUUAAGACUGCCGAGCUAGCAGGUGAGAGAGGUAAGUGGAAUUCCGAGUGUAGAGGUGAAAUUCGUAGAUAUUCGGAAGAACACCAGUGGCGAAGGCGGCUUACUGGCUCAUACUGGACGCUGAGGUGCGAAAGCGUGGGGAGCAAACAGGAUUAGAUACCCCCGUAGUCCCUGUCUCUUAUAC